UUUGUAACACCCCUUACCCUAUCAAAGAGUAGAUAGAGCAAGGAAUGUCACAAACUAUACCUUUUUAGAUAUAUCAGGACUAAACAAUUUCUUUUAUCUGUAAAUACCAAGUUUUUAGGUAAUGCAUGUAACUUUCAUCAAGAUUAAAAUAAGCGUGAGAUUUUUAAACCAAAAUUUUCGGCAGAGUUUUCUCUGUUUUAUUAGCACUUUAACCUGUAAUACAUAUGAACAUCACACUUAUAAUAAUACUAACAACUGUCACUUGAUAUCUUACUAUUCUUUGUUUACAUAACCUUCACAACUCACUCUAUUUAAUAUGUACAUGCCAAAAUAAAACUGUACUAUGACUCCGAGACUCAAAACAACCAGCUAUGAUGAUGGCCUUGAUAUCUGAUGUAGAUCUCUGAUAACUUCUGUUGCCCUAUUUUAUCUACAACCUGCGUGAGGUAAAAACCAACACGCUGAGCUNNNNN
rnacentral:lncRNA from 1 species